UAUUCAUCCCAUGCGGGAAGGAUGAGAAGCUUCGACUAAGGUUCGAUUCGAGCGAAGCGAGAAAGCGUUGCCGCAGGCAACGACCCGAAGGGCGAGGCGCAACGCCCCGAGUAAUCCUUCCCCCACCACCA
rnacentral:sRNA from 1 species